UCUCUGUCACAUGACCUUGGGCAAGCCUCCAUCCCUGGGCAGAUCAAAAGGAGAGGACGAGAUGAGGUGGUGUUUGCAGGGUGCUCGGCCGUGCUUGGCACCGGGCUGGACAGGCAUCAGUACUUGCAGUCUGCAGCUUGAUUUGGAAUCUCCCAGCGGUCCCCAGCUAGGGCGGACUGCUCCCCAGGGCACAUCUGGCAAUGUCCAGAGGUACCUUUGGUUGUCACACUCUGGUCAGGGAGGUGCUACAGGCAUCUUGUCGGGAGAGGCCAGGGGUGCUGCGGACCAUCCUACAGUUCGCGGAGAGCCCCCACCACAGAGAGCAGUCCGGCCCCAGAUGUCAGCACUACUGAGGUGGAGAAACCCCGAAGUUCCCUUGAACCUAAAAGGCCCAUGGGCUGUUCAGAGAGACACUCAGGAGACAGCUGGGCCCGUCAUGAGAAGCGCCUCUGUGAGUCACCUGCAUCGGGAAUGCAGUGGCUGCCCCAGGAGGGGAUCGGUGAGGUCACUCAGGGAGGAGGCAGGGAGAAGAGAAUGGGGAGAUGGAAGCAUUGAUGACAGCUGCACCGAGAGAGGGCAAGCAGCAGCAUGGAGCUGGAGCUGGAGUGGAAGAUUACUCAGCCAUAAAACAUGAAUGAAGCUCUGACACAUGCUAUGACGUGGUUGAGCCUCAAAAACAUUAUGUUCAGUGAAAGAAGUAGGAAACAUAGGUCCCACAUUGUAUGACCCAUUUAUACGAGUCAUCCAGAACAGCAGUGAAUUAAUAAAUCUCGGCAAUGAUCUUCAACAGCAGAUAACAUCACAGAAGAGGGACAGUGGGUGGCAGAGAAGCAAGAGGAUUGCUCAUGAUGACACAUAUCAACUAGAAGAUGGGUAUACAUGGGAAUUCAUUAUAACCUUCUCUCUACUUUUGAAUGUGUUUGAAUUUUUCUGUUUAGAAUAUAAAGCUUAAAGUCCUUUGCUCUGUGUCAUUCUCUCAAAGCAGGGUGAUGACAGCUAGAAGCCUGCAGGUGCUGGUAAAUAUUCCCCAGGGAGUACCGAUGUCUGGCCCCAUUUCUCCCACCUCCAUUCUCAGCCUCUAGCCUAUCGGUGAGGGCUGAGCUCACAAUUUUGUUAUGCUACAUAGCAAAUGUCCUCAGUUACAAAACCUCUCCUCUCCAGUUCCUAGGACCAGGUGUUGGAAGAUGAAAUCUCACCUCUAUUCACCCAGAAAGAUGGGAGAAAUUAACUUGAGCUGCCAGGGAUCAUGGAAUAGCCCUGGCUAGAGGCUGUGGGGUCAACAACUCAUACCACCAUUUGCUUUUCCCUUUGACAAAUUGGGUUUGACCGAUUCUGGCCUGCUCUGGUUUCAGUGAUUUGGCUGUGGUUCCAGACUGGCUCGAGGCCCAGUCCUAAGACCUGGCUGGCUUGCUGGGGGACUGGAGCCAGCAGGGAAGUCUCAGCUUGGACAAGUGCCCUAGAUGCAGAAAUAAUACAUGACCGUGAGU